rnacentral:rRNA from 1 species
UACAGGGGGUGCAAACGUUGCUCGGAAUCAUUGGGCGUAAAGCGCGCGUAGGCGGCCCGGUAAGUCCGCUCUGAAAGUCCAGGGCUCAACCCUGGAAAGCGGGUGGAUACUGCCGGGCUAGAAUCCGGAAGAGGCGAGUGGAAUUCCUGGUGUAGCGGUGGAAUGCGCAGAUAUCAGGAGGAACACCAAUAGCGAAGGCAGCUCGCUGGGACGGUAUUGACGCUAAGGCGCGAAAGCGUGGGGAGCAAACAGG